rnacentral:rRNA from 1 species
GACGAACGCUGGCGGCGUGCUUAACACAUGCAAGUCGAACGGAAAGGCCCUGCUUUUGUGGGGUGCUCGAGUGGCGAACGGGUGAGUAACACGUGAGUAACCUGCCCUUGACUUUGGGAUAACUUCAGGAAACUGGGGCUAAUACCGGAUAGGAGCUCCUGCUGCAUGGUGGGGGUUGGAAAGUUUCGGCGGUUGGGGAUGGACUCGCGGCUUAUCAGCUUGUUGGUGGGGUAGUGGCUUACCAAGGCUUUGACGGGUAGCCGGCCUGAGAGGGUGACCGGGCACAAUGGGACUGAGGGACGGCCCAGACUCCUACGGGAGGCAACAGGGGGGAAUAUUGCACAAUGGGCGGAAGCCUGAUGCAGCAACGCCGCGUGCGGGAUGAAGGCCUUCGGGUUGUAAACCGCUUUCGCCUGUGACGAAGCGUGAGUGACGGUAAUGGGUAAAGAAGCACCGGCUAACUACGUG